rnacentral:rRNA from 1 species
UACGUAGGAUCCAAGCGUUGUCCGGAUUUACUGGGUGUAAAGGGUGCGCAGGCGGACUGGUAAGUCUGGGGUGAAAUCUCGCCGCUUAACGGCGAAACUGCCUUAGAUACUAUCAGUCUUGGAUAAGCGAGAGGUUCGUGGAAUUCCGAGUGUAGCAGUGAAAUGUGUAGAUAUUCGGAAGAACACCAGUGGCGAAGGCAGCGAAUUGGCUCUAUACUGACGCUCAGGCACGAAAGCAUGGGGAUCAAACAGG